rnacentral:lncRNA from 1 species
UUAUAAUGUAGGCCAAUGUAUGGUUAUAGUAAGUGGUUUUUAGAAACUAUAUGCAUUAAGAUAUAACAAUCCAUAAGCAGAGAGAAUAUUGAACAAACAAAAAGUAAGGAAUAUGAACUGAUCCUAUAUGCGAUGAGCAAAUAUAAGAUUAUGCACAAGCUAGCCAAAAAGGCAAAGAAGAAGCUGACUUAUAAGUGGCACCUAACCUUAUAUAAUUGCCUUAGAAAUGAAAAGGAUGAAAGAAGGAAUGAUCAGAAAUCAGGUGUGUACGAGAUACUUAUUAAGAAUAAUACAGCAGAUAAGGAAGAAGUUUACAUAGGUAUCACAGCAAGGACACUUCAAUAGAGAUUGAGGGAGCAUGAAUGAGAUAUAAAUAAAGGAAGAAUGAGUACAGCACUAGCAUCUCAUGCAUAUGAAAACGACGUGCAAGUGAAAUGGUAAGAAGCUAGGAUAGUAACAUUGCUGAGAAAGGAGAAACAUGCAAUGAUAGUGGAGACUAUGGAGAUUUUUAUAAGAGGGAAAGAGAGAGACCUGGUGAAUGACUACCCCAUGCAAUAAUUAUCAGCACUAUGGAAGUACCUUUUAAGCAACAUGACCCACUAGCCUUAAGUGAAUGUUAUUAGCAAUAGUGAAUGUGUCUCCAGCGACUGUUGUAUGCCAGAGCUUUAGGAUUAAAAUUUGAACCUUUAUUUAUUUAUAUUAUUUAUUGGUUAUUUAACCAUAUAUUUAUAAAGCAGCAGUCACAUCUUGCAAUUUUUGGCUGUGACUGUGACCGGAAUUGGCUCUUCUUUCUAACUCGUAAACCCUCUCUGAAUUGUUGGUCGCUGAUGCGACGUCACUCGUCAACAAAAAUUUUGUUCUUAUGGCGAUGGUCGUAACUGCACAUUCAAUGAGAAGCUCUCUUUCUCUGACAUGAUCAGCGGUAAACUCAAAACCAAAUGGCC